ensembl:snRNA U6 U6 spliceosomal RNA
GUCAUUUAAGCAGCUCAUAUACUAAAACUGGAAUGAUACAGAGAAGACUGGCAUGGCCCCUGCACAAGGAUGACACACAAAUCUGUGAAGUAUUCCAUUAAAAA